rnacentral:rRNA from 1 species
GAUGAACGCUGGCGGCGUGCCUAAUACAUGCAAGUCGAGCGAACAGACGAGGAGCUUGCUCCUCUGACGUUAGCGGCGGACGGGUGAGUAACACGUGGAUAACCUACCUAUAAGACUGGGAUAACUUCGGGAAACCGGAGCUAAUACCGGAUAAUAUAUUGAACCGCAUGGUUCAAUAGUGAAAGACGGUGUUGCUGUCACUUAUAGAUGGAUCCGCGCCGCAUUAGCUAGUUGUUAAGGUAACGGCUUACGAAGGCGACGAUGCGUAGACGACCUGAGAGGGUGAUCGGCCACACUGGAGCUGAGACACGGUCCAGACUCCUACGAGAGGCAGCAGUAGGGAAUCUUCCGCAAUGGGCGAAAGCCUGACGGAGCAACGCCGCGUGAGUGAUGAAGGUCUUCGGAUCGUAAAACUCUGUUAUUAGGGAAGAACAAAUGUGUAAGUAACUAUGCACGUCUUGACGGUACCUAAUCAGAAAGCCACGGCUAACUACGUG